ACCCUCUCAGGAUUGCACCUGGAGAGUUUCCAAUACUUUACCAGUCUCAGCUAAGGGAGGGAGAGUCAAGCAGAGGCCUACCCAAUCCAUUCCUGGCUCAGGUAGUGGCUAGCGAGUGGAAGGCCAUCUGCUAUAAGU
rfam:Ornithorhynchus anatinus chromosome 7, whole genome shotgun sequence.